GGUGCAUACUAGUAGUAAUAGCCGCAAGAAGUCGAGACUCGAAGAGGUGUCCCCUUAAAUUAGGGAGAGCAACAGAAAUAGGUUGUCCCACCACGAUCCGAGCAGACAACCUAUUCUCCUAGAGGAAGAAUCCACUUUCCCUUUCUAACGGUAAACUUCCCAACAUGUCCUCAUGUUAAGUCCGCCAUUGUUGCGGACCCC
rnacentral:lncRNA from 1 species